rnacentral:rRNA from 1 species
AGAGUUUGAUCAUGGCUCAGAAUCAACGCUGGCGGCGUGCCUAACACAUGCAAGUCGAACGCGAAAGCCCCUUCGGGGUAAGUAGAGUGGCGUCCGGGUGAGUAACACGUGGGUAAUCUACCUCCGGGUGGGGAAUAACUCGCCGAAAGGUGAGCUAAUACCGCAUAAUGCAGCGGCACCAAAUGGUGAUUAGUUGUUAAAGCAGGGGAUCGCAAGACCUUGCGCCUGGAGAGGAGCCUGCGGCAGAUUAGCUAGUUGGUGAGGUAAUGGCUCACCAAGGCUGCGAUCUGUAGCUGGUCUGAGAGGACGGCCAGCCACACUGGCACUGACACACAGGCCAGACCCCUACGGGAGGCAGCAGUGGGGAAUUUUGGGCAAUGGGCGAAAGCCUGACCCAGCAACGCCGCGUGAAGGACGAAAUCCUUCGGGAUGUAAACUUCGCAAGCAAGGGAAGAGCGUGCGAGACCUAAUACGACUCGCAUUCGACGGUACCUUGCGUAAGCACGGCUACUCCGUGCCAGCAGCCGCGGUAAUAC